AUUGAACGCUGGCGGCAGGCCUAACACAUGCAAGUCGAGCGAGCGGCGGACGGGUGAGUAAUGUAUGGGGACUGCCCGAUAGAGGGGGAUAACUACUGGAAACGGUAGCUAAUACCGCAUACUAUCGGAUAACCCAUAUGGGAUUAGCUAGUAGGUGAGGUAAUGGCUCACCUAGGCGACGAUCCCUAGCUGUUCUGAGAGGAUGAUCAGCCACAUGGGGAUGGAGAAACGGCCCAGACUCCUACGGGGGCGGCAGUGGGGAAUAGUGCACAUGGGGCGCAAGCCUGAUGCAGCCAUGCCGCGUGUAGGAAGAAGGCCCUGGGGUUGUAAAGUACUUUCAGUGGGGAGGCGUUACCGAAAGAAGAAGCACCGGCUAACUCCGUGCCAGCAGCCGCGGUAAUAC
rnacentral:rRNA from 1 species